rnacentral:rRNA from 1 species
UAGGGAAUAUUGGUCAAUGGGCGAAAGCCUGAAUCAGCAACGCCGCGUGAGCGACGAAGGCCUUAGGGUUGUAAAGCUCUGUUGCAAGGGAAGAAAAAAAUGACGGUACUUUGCGAGAAAGGACCGGCCAACUUCGUGCCAGCAGCCGCGGUAAGACGAAGGGUCCUAGCGUUGUUCGGAAUCACUGGGCGUAAAGCGCAUGUAGGUGGCUCAAUAAGUCAGAUGUGAAAGCCCCGGGCUCAACCUGGGAAGUGCAUUUGAUACUGUUAAGCUUGAGUAUGGGAGAGGGUCGUGGAAUUCCUGGUGUAGUGGUGAAAUACGUAGAUAUCAGGAGGAACACCGGUGGCGAAGGCGGCGGCCUGGCCCAAUACUGACACUGAGAUGCGAAAGCGUGGGGAUCAAACAGG